UGCAGGGUGCAUCAGGUGGUGGGAGUACACCACAUACUAUUCAGUUGACUCCACGGUCAUGAGUAGUUUCGCCACCAGAGUUUACCCCACCUGCCUCGAGGACAUCUCGUGUGAGAAAGCCAUCCUCUAGCACUCCGAGGCAGAAAAAGAUAUCCUCUCAGACACCCAAACGAUAGAAGAAACAUAUGGGGUUUACGGAAUUAAUGAAUGCACCUGAUGUCGAUGAGGUUCAGUAGAGGGAAGAGG